rnacentral:rRNA from 1 species
ACGAACGCUGGCGGCAGGCCUAACACAUGCAAGUCGAGCGAGGACUUCGGUCCUAGCGGCGGACGGGUGAGUAACGCGUGGGAACGUGCCCUUUGCUUCGGAAUAGCCCUGGGAAACUGGGAGUAAUACCGGAUGAGCCCUUUGGGGGAAAGAUUUAUCGGCGAAGGAUCGGCCCGCGUUGGAUUAGGUAGUUGGUGGGGUAAUGGCCUACCAAGCCGACGAUCCAUAGCUGGUUUGAGAGGAUGAUCAGCCACACUGGGACUGAGACACGGCCCAGACUCCUACGGGAGGCAGCAGUGGGGAAUCUUAGACAAUGGGGGAAACCCUGAUCUAGCCAUGCCGCGUGAGCGAUGAAGGCCUUAGGGUUGUAAAGCUCUUUCAGCAGGGAAGAAGCGAAAGUGACGGUACCUGCAGAAGAAGCACCGGCUAACUACGUG